rnacentral:rRNA from 1 species
AACACAUGCAAGUCGAACGAGACCUUCGGGUCUAGUGGCGCACGGGUGCGUAACGCGUGGGAAUCUGCCCUUGGGUUCGGGAUAACAGUUGGAAACGACUGCUAAUACCGGAUGAUGACUUCGGUCCAAAGAUUUAUCGCCCAGGGAUGAGCCCGCGUAGGAUUAGCUUGUUGGUGAGGUAAGAGCUCACCAAGGCGACGAUCCUUAGCUGGUCUGAGAGGAUGAUCAGCCACACUGGGACUGAGACACGGCCCAGACUCCUACGGGAGGCAGCAGUGGGGAAUAUUGGACAAUGGGCGAAAGCCUGAUCCAGCAAUGCCGCGUGAGUGAUGAAGGCCUUAGGGUUGUAAAGCUCUUUUACCCGGGAUGAUAAUGACAGUACCGGGAGAAUAAGCCCCG